GAGCAAUUGUAUGAUGUUACUUGCAACCACCAAGAUCUAUGAAUGCCGUGAUUAGUUCACGUAUUUGCUAUCUGAAGUAGUUUACACAUCAAGUUAUUUUUUGGUUAUUAAAAUAUAAUUAUUAACGAAAACAAAUUAUUUCAGAUAUUAUUAAUAAAAUGCGACACAUGGAAUACUCGGGAUGAGAAUCAUACUAAAACAUAUUAUCAAUAAAAUACGACAUAUAGAAUUCUCGAAGGAGAAUCAUGCUAAAACAUAUUAUUAAUAAAAUGCGACACAUGGAAUACUCGGAAUGAGAAUCAUGCUAAAACAUAUUAUUAAUAAAAUGCGACACAUGGAAUACUCGGAAUGAGAAUCAUGCUAAAACAUAUUAUCAAUAAAAUACGACAUAUAGAAUUCUCGAAGGAGAAUCAUGCUAAAACAUAUUAUCAAUAAAAUACGACAUAGAAUUCUCGAAGGAGAAUCAUGCUAAAACGUGGCCGUGAAUGCGUCAUUUCUGUUUGCAGUUUUCGGAGAAGGUGAUCAGUUACUCUGGAAACUUUCAAAUACCACACGUGCCCGUUGCAACAGUUUAGGUUAUAUAAGGAUGUAUGCUGUGUAACUACGCGUAUACUUAUAAUUAAUGGCAAAUUUGUGCGACAGUGCAAACGUCCUUGGUGCGUUACAGUAUGUAGCAUUUCUUUGCAUUCUUAGCUCAUUAAGUUUUUGUCAAAUUGCGAAAGUGUUCGUGUAGCCUAGGAUACAGCUUCUUAUGUGUACUUUACGACAUCAGAAAAUGAAAGGCAUAAUGGAGACAUGUUUACAAGUGUCUCCAUUGUCAUCAGUUAUCUCAAUAUUCAUGGACCUUGCUCCAUGCUUUGUGGUAGAAGUGAAAAAUCGUGUGUCCUAACGAGCCGUUAAGGGACUCGUUCUGCACAAACAUAGGCCAUAUUUUUGGGCCUCUUGUUUAUGCAAUAAAUAUACACUUUGAAGUAAUUGGUACGAGCUUGUAUGAUUAUUUAAAUCAUAGUUUCCGAACUUUUUCUUUGGUUCACAAUUCCUAAUCCAAAUUUGUUUCCUUUAUACUCAUAUUUAGGAUCUUAAUAAUGAAAAUGUGCUAAACGAUCACAUUGAAAAUAAAAGAAAAUAUUAAAAGCUUUCAGAGCAUACAUUAGAAAAUUGUGAUCUAAAUAAAAAUUAUAUUGGCUACAAUUAAUCCUGAAAUGGACUAUUAUAUAUAGAUUUUCAUGGCUCUGUAUUUUCUACACCUCAAUUGUACUUUUCGAGUUCAAUUUGGAAAUUCGCUGAAGCGUUGACAUAACAAUCAUAGUAAUUUAGUUACCAAAUAGUAUAUUUAAUUUUAAGUAAGGAAAAUGACACUCAGUUGUGUAAAUCAAUAAAUGGCGUAGUGAACAUUA